ACACACGCAUGCACACACAUGCACACACACACACACUCACGGCCCAACCCAGAUGCAGGGCAGGGCACGCAGCCAGCCUGGCCAGGUGCUACCUUGGUGAGCUCAGUGCCCAGUCCCAGGUAGGGCGGGUGUGCAGCGUGAGUAAUGGCAGGCGAGGAAUGCACCCGAAUCCUGAUAAGGGAGAAUAAUAACUUGUCAAAGAUAUAUAUGAUGUGUGUUUGUUUUCCCAACGGAAUAUCUAUGGGGCUAAUUCAUCAAGCCAGCGGGCUGGCUGGAGACCCAGG
rnacentral:lncRNA from 1 species